UGAAGACUCUCUGGUACAGCUUUCA
rnacentral:piRNA from 1 species